UAGUUGGUGGGGUAAUGGCCUACCAAGGCGACGAUCAGUAGCGGGUCUGAGAGGAUGAUCCGCCACACUGGAACUGAGACACGGUCCAGACUCCUACGGGAGGCAGCAGUGGGGAAUUUUGGACAAUGGGGGAAACCCUGAUCCAGCCAUUCCGCGUGAGUGAAGAAGGCCUUCGGGUUGUAAAGCUCUUUCAGCUGGAACGAAACGGUACGCUCUAACAUAGCGUGCUAAUGACGGUACCAGCAGAAGAAGCACCGGCUAACUACGUGCCAGCAGCCGCGGUAAUACGUAGGGUGCGAGCGUUAAUCGGAAUUACUGGGCGUAAAGCGUGCGCAGGCGGAUUGUUAAGCAAGAUGUGAAAUCCCCGGGCUUAACCUGGGAAUGGCAUUUUGAACUGGCAGUCUAGAGUGUGUCAGAGGGGGGUGGAAUUCCACGUGUAGCAGUGAAAUGCGUAGAGAUGUGGAGGAACACCAAUGGCGAAGGCAGCCCCCUGGGAUAACACUGACGCUCAUGUACGAAAGCGUGGGUAGCAAACAGGAUUAGAUACCCUGGUAGUCCACGCCCUAAACGAUGUCAACUGGUUGUUGGGGGAGUGAAAUCCCUUAGUAACGAAGCUAACGCGUGAAGUUGACCGCCUGGGGAGUACGGUCGCAAGAUUAAAACUCAAAGGAAUUGACGGGGACCCGCACAAGCGGUGGAUGAUGUGGAUUAAUUCGAUGCAACGCGAAAAACCUUACCUACCCUUGACAUGUCCAGAAUCCUGCAGAGAUGCGGGAGUGCCCGAAAGGGAAUUGGAACACAGGUGCUGCAUGGCUGUCGUCAGCUCGUGUCGUGAGAUGUUGGGUUAAGUCCCGCAACGAGCGCAACCCUUAUCAUUAGUUGCUACGCAAGGGCACUCUAAUGAGACUGCCGG
rnacentral:rRNA from 1 species